GUGUGCUUUUCGGAUCUGUUAAAUAUAACUUUUUCAAGUUGUCUUCCAGGAUUCAGAGUUCUUAGUUUCAGCUCAGUGGUCCCAGAGGAAGCUCAAAGAACAGGGAAAAAAAUGUGAUAAGACUGAGUCUAUUUAUAAAUCACUUGUGGUGCUGCACAGAAUAUGGUCAAAACUGGAACUUGUUGUGGUCUUAUGAACC